AUGGGCUCCAGGCUCCUGUGCUCUGUGGCUCUUUGUCUCCUGGGAGCAGGCCUGGUGGAUUCUGGAGUCACUCAGACCCCAAAAUACCUGAUCAAGUCAAGACAACAGCAAGUGACCCUGAGAUGUUCUCCUGUCUCUGGACACCUCUCCGUGUACUGGUACCAACAGGUCCUCGGCCAGGGCCCUCAGUUCCUUGUUCAGUAUUACGACAGGCAAGUGAGAGACAAAGGAAACCUCCCAGAACGAUUCUCAGGUCAACAGUUCAGUGACUCUAGCUCUCAGCUGAACUUGAGCUCCUUGGAGCUGCCGGACUCGGCCCUGUAUCUCUGUGCCAGCAGCCAAGACACAGCCCUGCAGAAUCAGCUGCCUCUGGUACAAAAACACUCCUGCCCCAGCUCAGGAAGUGGCCGCGAGGUUGCCAGCUGCAGAUGGGGCAGGUUUCCUCUCCCCACCUCCCUGGCGUCAGCUCCCCGGCCCUCCCUACUGCAGCCUCGCUGCUCCGUCCUCAUCGGGGUCAUCUCUGUCAUGGUCUGA